UGCUAAAUCAAGACAAUUUAUGGAGUUUUUCAUCUUCCUAGAUGAAAGCUUUGAAGAUACUUGUUACAUGAAUGAGUAGAUGGGCCAGGAUUUAGCUCAGUGGUUCCGCUGCCUGCCUCGAAAACGCAAGGUCCUGAGUUCAAUCCUCAGUACCAAAAAAUUAAAAAAAAUAAAAACCACAUGAAUGAGUAGAUGUAAAGGAACGAGUCACAAGGUUACACUAUCAUCCAUUCUCUGAAUUCCUCUGAGUCACAGACCAAAAUGACAGUGAUUUAUGACCCACUGACAAACGGAUUUUAGUAUAAAUAAGAAACCAGAUACCAGUUGAUGCGGAAAGAAUUAUGGGUAACACAAAAUAAUACUUGAGAUCAAAAUGACAGAGUAAUGAUCAGCAGCAAAAUACAGACUCUCUGGGACCUUGAAUCCAGACACACAGAAAAUAACAACUUGGAAAAGAGAAAAAGAAAAGCGUUAGAUCUCCAGGAAUUGGAAAGAAACUGAACAGUAGAAACUGCAGAGAAGCUGGACUAAUGGAGCACAAUGCAGAGGAAAGAAUGAAGCAAACGGGAGAGCUCACUCUGGCUCCUGGGGAGAGGAACCUAUCUCUACAGACACAAGGUCCAGAAGCUCACUUUACAGCAAAGCCAAGGUCUGAGAGACAAGCGCUGGCGAAAGAAAGUUUUCACUCAGUGACCAAAGAAUGGAAAACCAGGAUCCAUGCUCACGGAUCAAAUUCCAGCUAAGUGCACAUCGUAUAAUACUAUGAGAACCUCCUGACAAAACACGAAGGCCAGGUGACAAGUAUGUCCUGCCAAAAGAGCCAGGAAAGCAGAACACACGUGCUAUCAGUGUAAGCGAGACUUGUGUGUGGAACAUGGUGUUUUCAUAUAUGAAAAAAAUCCCCUAGGUGUGAUAAUUGAAGUGAAGAUUAUUUCUGUGGUACAAAAAUAUUUGUAUUUUCAUUGUAGUUCACAAAGGAAUUUGUUUGUAUUUUUUAGAUUUGUAAGCAAAUAAACUGUGGAUGUUGAAAAUGUUGAUGUUUAUUCUAAACACUCAUUACAUAUUAAAAUGUUAAUAUUUUAUUUUAUUGGUAUUUUAUUUUCCUGUUAAGUACAUAUUGUAUAACUCAUAAAAUUAAAAUAAAUAAUUCAUCAAUAGAAAUACUCCUAAAACAUAAAUGUGGGUACUAUACACCCACUUAACAUUCCUUUUUUGGGAACUUAACAUGAUGCCCAAGGAGGUAAAUUCACCAUUGUUAAAUGAUUUUGACCUUUUUCAGUAAGAUUUGUUACCAUAUAUAGAGUCCAUUGGAGCUGAAAUUUUUUUUAAAAAAUUUAAAAAUGUUUGUCUUUCAAAACACUCCAUGAUAUCGAAUUUGGCAACAAGGUAUUGGAUAUGAUUUUUUUCAAGUUGUAAUUUUUAAAA